rnacentral:rRNA from 1 species
ACGGAGAGUUCGAUCCUGGCUCAGGAUGAACGCUGGCGGCGCGCCUAACACAUGCAAGUCGAACGGCACCCUUCUCCGGAAGGAAGCGAGUGGCGAACGGCUGAGUAACACGUGGAGAACCCGCCCCCCUCCCGGGGAUAGCCGCCGGAAACGGCGGGUAACACCCGAUGACCCCGCGCCAGGGCAUCCCGGCGCGGGCAAAACUCCGGUGGAGGGGGAUGGCUCCGCGGCCCAUCAGGUAGACGGCGGGGUGACGGCCCACCGUGCCGACAACGGGUAGCCGGGUUGAGAGACCGACCGGCCAGAUUGGGACUGAGACACGGCCCAGACUCCUACGGGAGGCAGCAGUGGGGAAUCUUGCGCAAUGGGGGCAACCCUGACGCAGCGACGCCGCGUGCGGGAUGGAGGCCUUCGGGUCGUAAACCGCUUUCAGCAGGGACGAGACGAGACUGUACCUGCAGAAGAAGCCCCGGCUAACUACGUGCCAGCAGCCGCGGUAAUACGUAGGGGGCGAGCGUUAUCCGGAUUCAUUGGGCGUAAAGCGCGCGUAGGCG